GAUGAACGCUAGCUACAGGCUUAACACAUGCAAGUCGAGGGGCAGCAUGAACAUAGCUUGCUAUGUUUGAUGGCGACCGGCGCACGGGUGCGUAACACGUAUCCCAUCUGCCCGUUACUCGGGGAUAGCCUUCUGAAAGGAAGAUUAAUCCCCGAUGGCAUUCAUUGGCGUCAUCGCUUUUGCAUUAAAGAUUUAUCGGUAACGGGUGGGGAUGCGUACGAUUAGCUAGUUGGCGGGGUAACGGCCCACCAAGGCUACGAUCGUUAGGGGUUCUGAGAGGAAGGUCCCCCACACUGGAACUGAGACACGGUCCAGACUCCUACGGGAGGCAGCAGUGAGGAAUAUUGGUCAAUGGGCGAGGGCCUGAACCAGCCAAGUAGCGUGAAGGAUGACUGCCCUACGGGUUGUAAACUUCUUUUGUUUGGGAAUAAAAGACGCUACGUGUAGCGUUCUGCAUGUACCUUACGAAUAAGCAUCGGCUAAUUCCGUGCCAGCCGCCGCGGUAACAC
rnacentral:rRNA from 1 species